rnacentral:rRNA from 1 species
UACGUAGGGGGCAAGCGUUGUCCGGAUUUAUUGGGCGUAAAGAGCGUGUAGGCGGCCAAGCAGGUCAGAUGGGAAAACUCGAGGCUCAACCUCGAGACGUCGGUUGAAACCGUUUGGCUAGAGUCCGGAAGAGGAGAGUGGAAUUCCCGGUGUAGCGGUGAAAUGCGCAGAUAUCGGGAAGAACACCCGUGGCGAAGGCGGCUCACUGGCCCGGUACUGACGCUGAGGUGCGAAAGCGUGGGGAGCAAACAGG